UACCACCCUCAGAGUAAAAAAUUUCUUCCUAAUAGUUAACAUAAAUUGGAUUAACCUCUUUCAAUUUUCCCUCAUUCCUCCUUGUCCUGUCACUGCAGUUCUUGAUGGAGAAUCCCUCUUCUGAUUCCCUGUAGGUACCAGAAACAUGCUUUAGAUACUGGAGGGUUGCUAUAGGAUCUCCACACAACUUUCUCUUCUCCAGGCUGAACAGCCCCAUCUUUCUCAGCCUGUCUUCAUAGGGCAUGUGCUCCAGUCUUCUUAUCAACCUCAUGGCCUCCUCUGGACUUGCUCCAACAGUUCCAAAUCCUUCUUAUUUUCUUACAGUGGGUGCACUACAAUGGUAUGAAGUGAUCCAGGUAGAGUCUCACAAGGCUAGAGGAGGAGAAUCCCCUCCUUUAACCUGCUUCUUCAGAUGAACUUACACUUCUUCAGAUGAAGCCCAGAAUUCCUUUGGCUUUCUCAGCUGCCAGCACGCACUGAUGGCUCAUGUUGGGUUUUUCAUCACCUCCAAGUCCUUCUCCACAGAGUACUCUCCAUCACUUCUCUACCCAACUGGUUGUGGCUGCUGUUGUCAGAGGUGACAUAGAGAGAACAGCCCUUGUGCAGAGCUUCCUGCCCCCACCAUGGAACCUAACCCCAGGUUAAUUGUUGUAACAGUUAAACUAAAUGGACUUUAUUGACUGAAGUGGACCUGCUCCUGUAAGAAUGACCUGCUCACUUUAUGUGGGAAUAGCAACAUCUGACCCUAAGCUAGCAAAAAAAUUAAAGCAAGAGUG